rnacentral:rRNA from 1 species
AUUGAACGCUGGCGGCAUGCCUUACACAUACAAGUCGAACGGCAGCACGGGUGCUUGCACCUGGUGGCGAGUGGCGAACGGGUGAGUAAUACAUCGGAACGUACCUUAUCGUGGGGGAUAACGCAGCGAAAGUUGCGCUAAUACCGCAUACGCCCUGAGGGGGAAAGCGGGGGACCGUAAGGCCUCGCGCGAUUAGAGCGGCCGAUGUCUGAUUAGCUUGUUGGUGAGGUAAAAGCUCACCAAGGCGAUGAUCAGUAGCUGGUCUGAGAGGACGAUCAGCCCCACUGGGACUCAGACACGGCCCAGACUCCGACGUGAGGCAGCAGUGGGGAAUUUUGGACCAUGGGGGCAACCCUGAUCCAGCAAUGCCGCGUGAGUGAAGAAGGCCUUCGGGUUGUAAAGCUCUUUUGUCAGGGAAGAAACAGCAGCUCUAACACAGUCUGCGAAUGACGGUACCUGAAGAAUAAGCACCGGCUAACUACGUGCCAGCCGCCGCCGUAA